AGUAUUAAUAAUUAUAUGAUUAUUUUACGUGUUUCAUCUUUUGUUCUGAUUACUGAGAGAAAAUGUUUUGUGUAGCCACGUGUAUGUACUUAACCUGUCAUUUCGCACCACGAGGGUGACACUCCAAAAUAGCGAACGAGGUUGUGUCGUAGUAUUUCUUAGGUUGAAGGCUAAACAAUAAAAGGUAAUUUUGCACUCUGAAAUGUACUACACUUAUAGAACACCCGAAAAUAGAUAUUUUUAGUUCUUUAGUUUAUUUAUAGUUUUAAUAUCGAGGUACAUUUACAUAUUUUCAAGAAUUUCAUAUUUAAUUUUACGUUUGACUGUGGGGUAUUGUGUCUGCUGCCAUAAUUGUGUUAGGGUAAACGUUGAAUACUGCCAUUCCAGCCAAGUACGAAAAACUGUAUUUUUGAGUUAAAGGAUGAUGUGAAGUAUUUGAAUAUUACCUGUAACAUAAAUAUAGUGACAUAAAUUUGUUAGGCUUCAAUAAUGUAGGCAGGAUUGUUUUCAGUGAGAUAUCCCGGAUCCUUUUGUUGCCACCCUUCUGUAUACUUGGUACUAGCUGCAACUGAUCCUGUGGUUAUGCAGAGAUUCUCAGUAAUACAGCAUAGCCAAGAGACUGUUUCCGAGGUAAAAGUUCCAUAUCACGUAUCCAAGUUUAUCCCUUCAACUUGAUGGCAUGAUACUGAAUGCACUAAACCUGUGGUAUACCUAUGAUCAAUGCUGUUUUAAUUUAGUGCGUUAAAUAUUCUGUACAUAUAGAAAAACUUGUGAUAUAACAAUGAGUUACUAUUGUUAAUUGAAUACUAAAAAAAGUCUACAAGACUGAGAUAAUUUGUUCGUUAAGUAGAGUUCUGCAAAUACGGACCCCUCUCAUCCACACAUCUGGUUAAUCUGGACAAGAUUUAAAAAAAAAAGUUUUUACUAAUUUUUGUAUGUUUUUGUAUGUAAAGUAGUGUUAAAACUAAGGUUAAGCUGUGGGAAAAGUAGCAUGUUUAUAAGGGGAAAAAACCUUAGAUUUUUACAGUUUUAUCCCUCUACAACUUGUAUUAGUGCAUUUUAAGGCAAAUUCUGUUUCAUAGGGACUUUUUGCUGGUUUUCUCAGGGUUUGUUCCAUGUAGUCUGGAUUAGCGAGAUUUUACUGUGUUGUGAUAGGCAAGUAGUUUGUUAGGCCAGGAUCUUUCGACAUAAUAAAAUUAAAACAACAGGCCAAUGUAAACACAAUCAUGCAUCAGAAAAACUUGGAUAUGUGACACUGAACAUUUAAAGUUAUGGCCGGGACCAUAACCACAUUAAUAAGCACAAUUAUGGUGGGAAUCAGUUUUGGCCCUGGCCAUAAUUAACUUAUAUUAAACUUUCCUGGCUUUAGGAAUCAGUCUUGGCUAUGGAGUAUUCCUAAGGAUCUCUGGAAAACUACGGGAUCAGGGAUAUCUCUUGUUGAAAGCAGUUGUGUCUAUGCUAUUAAAGCAUAAAACAAAAUAAAGUAUCUAUUUAUAAUGAUUUUACACCAUCCUUUAACCCAAAUGUACCAUCACACGUUUACCUGGACUCCACGGAGGCACCCGAGCCACCAUACAGGCCAAUGUAAAAUGGUUAAUUACAUGUGAAGUUCUUGAGUAUAUCUGAGUGCACCUCAGUAUUAUGAAUAGAAAUGAAAUAGAAACUGAAUAAAUCCAUUUUAAGGUGUUUGUCCCAUCUUUUUUUUAUUAGUAGCACGUCCCUACAGUAAACAACUACCGGUAAAUAUUUACUUGGGCGGUAUUUCCGAAACAAAAUGUUAAAAAUCCGAAAAUACCUUUAUUUAAUGCUCUUCAACUUCCUCUUUUCAUUAAAAGUGGCGGAGGAUUCCAAAUACUUUAGGAGAUAUCGAAUUUUUAAAUUUCAUCAUAUGUAGUUGAGCGGUAUUUGCAAAAAAAAAAUGUUAAAAAUCCGAAAAUACCAUUAUCAUAUGCUCUUCAACUUCCUCUUUUCAUUAAAAGCGGCGGAGAUAAGAAAUUCCAAAUACUUUAGGAGAUAUCGAAUUUUUUAAUUUUGCAAUACAAGACCUGUGGAACCAUUCCAGCGGCGCCAUUUUUGUUAUUUUGCCGUGUGUUCGUGAAUACGUGAAUCGUGAAUGCGUAAUUAAUAAAAUGGUUGAUUAGGUCAGGUCAGUUACAUUAUUAAUACUUUCAAACUAAGCCGACAUUAAAAAUUAUUUUGUGAAUUAAUUUUAAUGGCUGUUUAGUUUUAAAAUAUUUAUAAUGUAACUGACCUGACCAAACAAACCCGGACAGAGGGUGAACAGUAAACUAAAAUGGUCGAUUAGGUCAGGUCAGUUACAUUAUAAAUACUUUCAAACUAAGGUGAUAUUAAAAAUAAUGUGAAUUAAUUUUUAUUAUUCUUUAGUUUUAAAUUAUUUAUAAUGUAACUGACCUUACCUAACAAACCCGUAACAAAGGAUGUACAGUAACAACUCACGUAAAUUUUUUUGUUACUUAUAACUUGCGCAACAAUAUCAAAAUAACAAAUAAGACUUUAAAAUUAGAAACGUUAAAAACUCACCUAAGUUGGAGGCGGUAAUUAAACACCGUUUUAAACAAUAAUUGAACUAAAUAAUCACGUAUUAGUUCAUUUGAAUUCUGGCCUAUCACGAACAAUCACGUGACAUCAUUAUCCAAUAAAAAAAUAGAUACUCGUACGUAAACAAGAAACAAUGGUGCACGCACGCCACAGGAAUGCGCUGGUUUUGUGCUGAAAUUUAAAAAUUCGAUAUCUCCUAAAGUAUUUGGAAUUUCUAAUCUCCGCCGCUUUUAAUGAAAAGAGGAAGUUGAAGAGCAUAUAAUAAAGGUAUUUUCGGAUUUUUAACAUUUUUUUUUUCGCAAAUACCG